GCAUUGGUGGUUCAGUGGUAGAAUUCUCGCCUGCCACGCGGGAGACCCGGGUCCGAUUCCUGGCCAAUGCA
rfam:Danio rerio chromosome 4, GRCz11 reference primary assembly.